rnacentral:rRNA from 1 species
UACGGGGGGGGCAAGCGUUGUUCGGAAUUACUGGGCGUAAAGGGUGCGUAGGCGGCUUUCUAAGUUGGAUGUGAAAACUCUGGGCUCAACCCAGAGCCUGCAUCCAAAACUGGAGAGCUUGGGUACUGGAGGGGAAAGCGGAAUUCCUGGUGUAGCGGUGACAUGCGUAGAUAUCAGGAGGAACACCGGUGGCGAAGGCGGCUUUCUGGACAGUUACCGACGCUGAGGCACGAAAGCUAGGGGAGCAAACAGG